rnacentral:lncRNA from 1 species
AUGGAGAGCAAAAUAUAUUCUUGUAUUUUCGGAUGUUUUUCUUAGGUUUUGUGAGAGUUAGUUUCAGAGUCCUGGUUUGAGUAAGAUUGGUGUUUAAGCAUCCUAGUUUAAUUAUAUAUUGCGUCGGAUAUGCUAGAAAGUUGUUAAGAUUUAAUUUAAUUAUUAUUUGGAAAGUUCGGAUAUAGCAGAAUUUUAGAUUGAUUAACAGUCUUCUCCAGAAACAAUCUACGUGAAGAGUCCUAGGAUCAUAAUAGAUAAAUUGAACAGUCCUUUCUUGGGUAGCAAAAGUUUUUUAUUGUUUCAAAGACUAUGAAAAUGGGCCUCUGUGAAGUGACGAAUUUAUGAAUCUUAGUGAGUUAUUUUUUGUGAAUUUCCACUGCCCAGGAUUGGUGCCCUCCUUACUCUCUCUAUCUUUUUGUUCUUCAUUUAUUACUCUCAAAAUCUGUUAUCUUUUUCUUUAUUUCCUGCCAUUUAUUCCUCUCCUGGCUAUCUUAAUCUUCUUCCUUUUCCACUGUUUAACUCUACUUCUUCUGUGUUGUCAAUAGGUCAGAUCAUUGUUUACAGAGAUCUGUGCGCAUUAUUUGAUCAAAUCUUGUUGUAGGCUUAUAUUGGAUUAUUCAAUUAAGACCUAAGAAACUCUAGGUUUUGAUUUAGCUAAUCCUUCCACGUGUAAGGAACCCUAAAGAAGAUUCUUCAUGAACAACUGCCCCUAAUUUCAAAUUCUGUUGCCUGUUGUCCUGUUUUGAGAUUCUAGAUAGCAAGUAACAAAAGUACUUGUUGUCCUAAUUCAACCUGACUUUAGGGCCACCGCACCUAUUGUAGACAAUCCCUAAAAUAGUCCUACAUCAAUUUAGUAUUGGAGCUAAAGGGUCCUAUUCUUUUCCUCCGUGCUUUCCCUUGAUCUCCUUUGUAUCCUCUUCUUUCUUCCCACCCUUUCAUCAUGUUAUCAAAUAACGAGUUAGGUUUCAGGAUGGAUGCCUUUCAUCAACAUAUCAAAUAUGAGAAUAAGGUGUUUGGGCAAAUGUGUUAUGAUAUAACAUCCAUCAAAACUGAUACUGCAACAGUAAAGGAUUUGUUGUAAGCACCUUUAGAAGCCCGAGGCCUCGGGCAUCACACUUAUAUGAUUUCAUCUUCACGAGCUUCUAAUCAUUUAGAGGUUCUAAAGCAGAUUUCUCCAACAAAAGCCCAAGUUGAGUUGCAACAAGAACCUAAAACCGAGGAUUUGCCAUGCAAAGAUCAAACAAAUAAUGAUUCAAUUAAACAAAAACUUGGCAUCGAGCCUAUCAAGCCACAAGGGGAUCUUCAAUAACUUCAUCAAACCAUCAAAAGAGCAUCCAGAAGAUCUGAUUGUUGAAGGCAAAACUAAUUCCAACUCAGUAAUUAACGUUGAGAACCAAUGCUAUGAUGACACAUACUGAUGAGGACAUUAGAGCCCUACAUUCCAAUGAUCGUGCCUUCAGAGCCACUCGCUCGCGUUCGCACCAUAGAUUGGCAUCAUUGUGGCUAGGAGAUGCUCUUGAGCCACCAGAUUGAGUCAGGCCCUGGAUUGGGUCCAUUCGAGUCUGUGUCAUGUUUCUUUUAUUGCCUUAUCAGUUGCUUUUGUUUGAGUCGAUUUGGUUGUUGAGUCAAGCGAUUGGAUCAAUUGAUCAAUGUAAGACCUAAUUAUAAUGGUCCAACUUUGGGUGUGAUCAAUUGGUUUAAUGGUCUAAUGUUAGUAAGGUUUAAUUUGGUAUGUAAUCAAUUAAUUGACUUAGUCAAUUAAUUGAAGGUCCAAGUUUGGUUAGUUGUUAAUUGUUGACUUGGUCAAUUCAUAAUGUAAGGCUUAUAUAAGGGCCACCCCGCUCAUGAAUUAGAAGAAUUGAAUGAUUGAAUAAAAAAAUUCUAGCCUUCUUUCUGCUUCUUCUUCCUCCUCCUCCUCUUCUCUUCUUUCUGCGUCUCUAUAACUUCUUCUUCCUCCUUCUCUUCUUCUUCCUCUCUCUCUUCUCCCUGCAGUGGUCCGCCAUCACAUACUGAGCCAAUUUUUGUGCUUCCUCAUGUUAUGGGGUACAUUGGAUACUUGGAAGCCUUCAAGCGGUGGAUCGAAAUGCACCUCAGUAGUCAUCCUAUAUUUUGAUUUCAAGAGAAAUGUGUGUGGAACUCCAUCAUCAAUUAUUGGAAAUCCAACAGUAGAGAUUGUAUGAGCACCAUUCAAGAGAUUGCAUGGACGCAAUCUUGUGCAGAAGAAGUGAAUGAUGAAGGACAAAAAAAUAUCUUAUUAUAUUUGCGGAUUUUUUCUUAUGCAUUUUUUAUAGUUAGCUUUACAAUCCUGAUUUCUGCAAGAUUGGUGUGUAAGAGUCCUCGUUCAAUUAUAUAUUGGGUCAAAUAAGUUGCAAAGUUGUUAUGAUUUAAUUUCUUAACUAUUAUUUGGAAAGUUUGGAUAUAGAGAAUUUUAGAUCAAUUACAUCUUUUAUGGAAUCAAUUUACAAAAAAAGGAGUUCUAGGAUCAUCAUAGAUAAGUCAAAGAAUCCUUUGUCGGAUAGCAAGCAAAGUUUUUCGAUGUCUCAAAGUUUAUAAAUAUGGGCCUCUAUAAAGUGACGAAUUUAUGAAGAUUAUUGAGUUAUUUUUGUAUGGAAUUUUGUUGGCUAAGUUUGGCCCUCUCUCCCUACACUCACUCUUCUUCUUCAUCAUCAUCUAUUAUUCUCUUAAACCAUCAUCUCUUUUCCUUAUCUUCUGCUACUUAUUCCUCUCUCAUCUAGCUUAAUCUUCUUCUUCUUCUUCUAUUGUUUAUCUCUCUACUUCUGUAUGGUGAUAGAUCAAAUCACUGUCUAUAGAGAUUUGUGUGCAUUAUUUGAUCAAAUCUAGUUGUCGGUUUAUAUCAGAUUAUUCAAUUUCAGAUCACUGUCUACAGAGAUCUGUGUGCAUUAUUUGAUCAACUCUAGUUGUAGGUUUAUACUGACUAUUCAAUUAAGACCUAAGAAAUCCUGGGUUCAGAUAAUUCUUCCAUGUGUAAGGCAUCCUAAUUGAAGAUUCUUCUUGAACAUUCAUCGCCUCUAAUUUCAAAUUCUGUUGUUGGCUGUCUUGUUUUAGGACAAUUGGUAGGACACAAUAGAGG